UACAGGGGGUGCAAACGUUGCUCGGAAUCAUUGGGCGUAAAGCGCACGUAGGCGGUUCGUUAUGUCGGAUGUGAAAGCCCUUGGCUUAACCGAGGAAGUGCAUCCGAAACUGGCGAGCUAGAGUACUAAAGAGGAUCGCGGAAUUCCCGGUGUAGAGGUGAAAUUCGUAGAUAUCGGGAGGAACACCGGUGGCGAAGGCGGCGAUCUGGGUAGAGUACUGACGCUGAGGAACGAAAGCGUGGGUAGCAAACAGG
rnacentral:rRNA from 1 species